UACAGAGUGGCCCAAGCGUUGUUCGGAUUCAUUGGGUGCGUAAAGGGGUGCGUAGGCGGCGCGGUAAGUCGGGUGUGAAAUCUCGGAGCUUAACUCCGAAACUGCAUUCGAUACUGGCGUGCUUGAGGACUGGAGAGGAGACUGGAAUUCAUGGUGUAGCAGUGAAAUGACGUUGAUAUCGCUAGGAACUCGUGGUGGGCGAAGGCGGCAUCCUGGACCAAUUCUG
rnacentral:rRNA from 1 species